UACUAUAGCUUGACACUGAACAUUGAGCCUUGAUGUGUAGGAUAGGUGGGAGGCUUUGAAGCGUGGACGCCAGUCUGCGUGGAGCCGACCUUGAAAUACCACCCUUUAAUGUUUGAUGUUCUAACGUGGACCCGUAAUCCGGGUUGCGGACAGUGUCUGGUGGGUAGUUUGACUGGGGCGGUCUCCUCCUAAAGAGUAACGGAGGAGCACGAAGGUUGGCUAAUCCUGGUCGGACAUCAGGAGGUUAGUGCAAUGGCAUAAGCCAGCUUGACUGCGAGCGUGACGGCGCGAGCAGGUGCGAAAGCAGGUCAUAGUGAUCCGGUGGUUCUGAAUGGAAGGGCCAUCGCUCAACGGAUAAAAGGUACUCCGGGGAUAACAGGCUGAUACCGCCCAAGAGUUCAUAUCGACGGCGGUGUUUGGCACCUCGAUGUCGGCUCAUCACAUCCUGGGGCUGAAGUAGGUCCCAAGGGUAUGGCUGUUCGCCAUUUAAAGUGGUACGCGAGCUGGGUUUAGAACGUCGUGAGACAGUUCGGUCCCUAUCUGCCGUGGGCGCUGGAGAACUGAGGGGGGCUGCUCCUAGUACGAGAGGACCGGAGUGGACGCAUCACUGGUGUUCGGGUUGUCAUGCCAAUGGCACUGCCCGGUAGCUAAAUGCGGAAGAGAUAAGUGCUGAAAGCAUCUAAGCACGAAACUUGCCCCGA
rnacentral:rRNA from 1 species